UAGGGAAUCUUCCACAAUGGACGCAAGUCUGAUGGAGCAACGCCGCGUGAGUGAAGAAGGUUUUCGGAUCGUAAAGCUCUGUUGUUGGUGAAGAAGGAUAGAGGCAGUAACUGGUCUUUAUUUGACGGUAAUCAACCAGAAAGUCACGGCUAGCUACGUGCCAGCAGCCGCGGUAAUACGUAGGUGGCAAGCGUUGUCCGGAUUUAUUGGGCGUAAAGCGAGCGCAGGCGGAAUGAUAAGUCUGAUGUGAAAGCCCACGGCUCAACCGUGGAACUGCAUCGGAAACUGUCAUUCUUGAGUGCAGAAGAGGAGAGUGGAACUCCAUGUGUAGCGGUGGAAUGCGUAGAUAUAUGGAAGAACACCAGUGGCGAAGGCGGCUCUCUGGUCUGCAACUGACGCUGAGGCUCGAAAGC
rnacentral:rRNA from 1 species